GACGAACCGUGCGAACGUUAUUCGGAAUCACUGGGCUUAAAGCGCGUGUAGGCGGGACGGCACGUCGGUCGCUGAGAUCCCCCGGCUCAACCGGGGAACGGGCGCCGAUACGACCGGCCUGGAGGGGCGUAGGGGGACCUGGAACUUCCGGUGGAGCGGUGAAAUGCGUUGAGAUCGGAAGGAACGCCCGUGGCGAAAGCGAGGUCCUGGACGCCUACUGACGCUGAGACGCGAAAGCCAGGGGAGCGAACGGG
rnacentral:rRNA from 1 species